AUGCGCUAGACGAAUGGUCUGGAAAGGCCAACGAUACCGGGUGAUAGUCCCGUAGUUAUAGGCGCAUGUUCAGUGAAAUCGAGUAGGGCGGGACACGUGUUAUCCUGUCUGAAUAUGGGGGGACCAUCCUCCAAGGCUAAAUACUCCUGACUGACCGAUAGUGAACCAGUACCGUGAGGGAAAGGCGAAAAGAACCCCUGUGAGGGGAGUGAAAUAGAACCUGAAACCGUGUACGUACAAGCAGUAGGAGCACCUUCGUGGUGUGACUGCGUACCUUUUGUAUAAUGGGUCAGCGACUUAAUGUUAGUAGCAAGGUUAACCAUCUAGGGGAGCCGUAGGGAAACCGAGUCUUAACUGGGCGUAUAGUUGCUAGCAUUAGACCCGAAACCGAGUGAUCUAGCCAUGGGCAGGUUGAAGGUUGAGUAACAUCAACUGGAGGACCGAACCGACUAAUGUUGAAAAAUUAGCGGAUGACUUGUGGCUAGGGGUGAAAGGCCAAUCAAACUCGGAGAUAGCUGGUUCUCCCCGAAAGCUAUUUAGGUAGCGCCUCGGACGAAUACUACUGGGGGUAGAGCACUGUUAAGGCUAGGGGGUCAUCCCGACUUACCAACCCUUUGCAAACUCCGAAUACCAGUAAGUACUAUCCGGGAGACACACGGCGGGUGCUAACGUCCGUCGUGGAGAGGGAAACAACCCAGACCGCCAGCUAAGGUCCCAAAUUACAGCUAAGUGGGAAACGAUGUGGGAAGGCUUAGACAGCUAGGAUGUUGGCUUAGAAGCAGCCAUCAUUUAAAGAAAGCGUAAUAGCUCACUAGUCGAGUCGGCCUGCGCGGAAGAUGUAACGGGGCUAAGUUGUAAACCGAAGCUGCGGCAAUGUUCUUUGAACAUUGGGUAGGGGAGCGUUCUGUAAGCCGUUGAAGGUGUGUUGUAAAGCAUGC
rnacentral:rRNA from 1 species